AGAGGAGAAUAGACAACAACAAAACGUAAUCAACCCCCAGGACAGACUCCAAGGUUUCAAUUGGAUAAAAAACAUUUGGUCUGUCAAGACUGCUCCAAAGAUUCAAGUCUUUCUCUGGAAAAUAGUGCAAGAUGCCUUACCUACAGGAGAAGCAUUACAAAGGAGAGGAGUUCUAACACACCCAGUUACGUGUGCGCGAUGUGGAGCCCUGGAAUCAGCUGAUCACCUCUUUCUCCACUGCAACUACUCAAAACGAAUCUGGAACAACCUACCUACUACGAGACCUAUCAGUAUCCAGGCGACCACCACCUUUGAUCAGAUACUGGUCUCAUCAGCGACUUGGAUUUGUCUCCCUCCUAUGGGUAUCUCGGUUAAUAUUCUUCCUUGGGUUUGUUGGUGUAUUUGGACUGCAAGAAACCAAUUGGUUUUUGAGAACUGAACACUCAAUCCUGAUGAGGUUAUCUGCAACGCUCUGCGAAUCGCACGAGAGUGGCAAGAGGCGCAACCGAGAGGGCAACAAUCACCGCAUUCACUGGACAUCAAUGGCACCAGGACACAGAACAAUACAUCGACUGGCCUUAAUACUCUGUAUACGGAUGCGGCGUGGAGACUCGAGGACAAAACUGCAGGAUGUAGUUGGGUCCUUCACAACCCACGCCUGGAAGAGACAAGGCAGGGCACUUCGACGGAGCGUUUUGUUGCGUCACCACUGAUGGCCGAGGCACUAGCUGUACGGGAAGCCUUGUUACAGGCCAAGGCUCUUCAUCUCACCAAUAUCUGCCUUAAGUCAGAUAACCAGGUGCUUAUCAAAGCACUAUCCUCGAAACAACAUUCGGUGUAGCUCUACGGAAUCAACUUGGAUAUCGAGAAUCUAUCCCUAUCUUUUACGUCUAUUUCUUUUGCUCAUGUACCUAGGAGCUUGAACUCUGCUGCAGAUGCUUUGGCAAAAUCUGCUCUGUACUCUUUGAACUCUUAGCUUCUGCUUAUGCUUUCUUAAUGAAAUAGUUGGUUGAUCAAAAAAAAAAGACAUCACCAAUAGGUCCAAUACACAACUCCCCUUCUCAGCCGCGUUUGAUAUUUUAACGAAUGUGAAAACUAAUUUUCUAAUAAAUCAAUUAUUGACGAAGAACGUAUAUUCAAAUAAAUGGUCAGAUAGUUUGAGAUAGACGCUUUUUGAAUGUUAAUAACUUAGUUACAAAUAGUUUUAUUAAUCUAGUUGGGUGUAGAAUUCUUCAUUUUUCUUUUGAGCAACGGGUAUAGAGUUCUUUAAUUCUAAUAUAAGAAGUGACAUGGUACAUUCGUUAACUUAGCGACUAAUAUGACUAAUUUAACUUUGUAAAUACUUUUAGUUAGCGUGAAAGAUCUUCUUGAACAUUCAAUAAUCAGAUUGGUUAUCAUCAUAAAACAUAUUGGUCAGCAUCGAAAUAGAUGGAACACAUAGUAUAUACUUUUCAUUUUAAUCUAUAUAUAAUAGCAAACCAAUUUUUUGUUAGCCGCUGACGUCAUCAGUUUUUUAUAGGAAAAAAAAAAUCAGAAUCUAACGGUGAAGAUAGUUCUGAGAAUAUAAUCUAAGGGAUAUAAUUUUGUUUAGGACUAAGGAUGUGACGCCAUCGCUUUGCAAUCGACGCCUUCACCGUAUCUCUUCAAAGGCGUCCCCUGCAGAAACUAUAACCCUUCAAGAGUUGUAUACUUUCACAAGCAGCGUUUCAGUUCAACGUCAUCAUCUUCCCUUAAAAGUGGUAUCUUAUCAGAAGCUUAUAUAUUAAAGAAAUUGUUUAUGUUCUCCUAAUUGUUUCAAGUUUUCUUUGAUUAUCCUCUCUGUUUCUUUUUUUUUUUUGUGAAUCUCCUCUCUGUUUCUUAACUCUCUCCAGUCCCGCUGCAGAUAAUUUUCUCUCUCGCCCUUUCUCUCCAAUUACAGAGUCCAUUAAAGUAUUACUAUUUCUCUGCAAUUCUCUAAUUCUUAAAUUUAUUCCCUCUGAGUUUCUGCAAAUACAGUGGGCAUACUAUUGCUUAGAUGGCCUUGGUGCAUGCUUCAUUGUUUAAUUAGUCUUCGUAGGAUUCACAUUCAGAACAACUCAGUCCCUAUCUUAAAAUCGAGAAGAACAGAUAAUCGCGAAGAAGUUAAGUAUCUAUUCUUCUUAUUCAGUAAACUGAUAUUUCUCAAGUGCAACACUUGUCUGUGCAUGCGUUUAAGUGGGGAAGAUUGUACAUGAACAACAAGUGGAAAGCCAAGUUGCGAUGAGAAUUCAAUAUUUAUAAGGUUUCAAAAUCAUUACACAACAAUACAUAUAUAAUCUCUUCAUAAUAUGAUGUACGAGUUUAAUGCAUUUAUCGCUUUUGAGUUGUGAGUGUUUAGAAGAUUUAUUUAAUCUAUAUAUAAUAGCAAACCAUUUUUUUGUUAGCCGCUGAUGUCAUCAGUUUUUUAUAGGAAAAAAAAAAUUAAUCCAAUGGACAUAAAAUACUUUUGAUGAUGUCAUCAAGAAAAUUAUAUUGGCAACUCUUCCUUUAACAGUUAUUAUCUAUUUAAACAAUACAUCCAUUAACAAACAUACCUUUUCAUAACUUAAAAAAAUAUAAUAGCAACUUUUCCUCUAUUUAAACAACACAUCUCUUAACAACAUACCUUUUCAUAAUUUUAUUUUAUAUAUAUUAUUUAAAAAAUCAAAGAGUUACAAUCUGGCCGUCAUAAUUGUAUGUUUCUUUUAUCUAAUGGUCCUAAAACUAUUUUGGUUUAAAUAUCUUGUUUCUUGUUGUAACUCCCUCUAAAGAGUUUUCUUUUCAAACAACACAUACCUUCUUUUCUUGAGUAGCCUUUGAUGUACCUCUUCAUGAUCUAUAUAUUUUACUUUUUACAGCUGAAAUGUUUUACAGAAUCGUUUAGUAAAACUGAAAAUCGUAAAUUGAAUACAAAAACAAUUGAUAAGAGAAAACCCUAAACACCCCGAGAAAAAAAAGGGGACUACAUAAUACAUGUUUUAUUCUCCAUGUACCUCUGUCUCUUGGUUUUGCACUUUCUCUCUCUAUCGCUUCUUUGUAAAUAAGAAUUACGUUUGUGUCGGUAAUAAAACCAUACGUAACAUAUAAGCCACCGUGAUAAACGUAAUAGAAGGGUUUAGAUUCCUUUGUUCAUCAAAGGGAAUCAUAAAGGAUUGAAGGCCAAAGAGAGAAGAAGAUAAAGGAUUGAGUACACGUUUUUUCUAUCAAUCUUAAAGCUUUCAUCUCUCUCCUACACAACUCAACCUCAAGGUUCCUAAAUAUAUGUUUAUUUUUCAUUCUACUUUCUUUGUGUUUGGUUUGGAACUUAUCUGAUUUAAUGUCUUUGAAAGUGAUUGGGGACGAACUUUUUCUGUAUCGAAUUAUAACUUUUUCAAUUUGAUCUGUAAAACUCUGUGAUGGCACAUCGUUACAGUUAUCAAUUAGUGGCUUGAUUUAUAUAGAAAACCAUUUUUUUGUUAGCCGCUGACGUCAUCAGUUUUUUAUAGGAAAAAAAAAUUAAUCCAAUGGUCAGAAUUUGUUUUUUUCUUUGAUCUAACGGACAUAAAAUACUUUUGAUGAUGUCAACAAGAAAAUUAUAUUGGCAACUCUUCCUUUAACAGUUAUUAUCAAUUUAAACAACACAUGCAUUAACAAACAUACCUUUUCAUAACUUAAAAAAAUAUAAUAGCAACUCUUCCUUAAGCAGUUAUCUAUUUAAACAACACAUCUCUUAACAACAUACCUUUUCAUAAUUUUAUUUUAUAUAUAUUAUUUAAAAAAUCAAAGAGUUACAAUCUGGCCGUCAUAAUUGUAUGUUUCUUUUAUCAAAUGGUCCUAAAACUAUUUUGGUUUAAAUAUCUUGUUUCUUGUUGUAACUCCUUCUAAAGAGUUUUCUUUUCAAACAACACAUACCUUCUUGAGUAGCCUUUGAUGUACCUCUUCAUAAUCUAUAUAUUUUACUUUUUACGGCUGAAAUGUUUUACAAAAUCGUUUAGUAAAACUGAAAAUCGUAAUACAAAAACAAUUGAUAAGAGAAAACCCUAAAUACCACGAGAAAAAAAAGGGGACUACAUAAUACAUGUUUUAUUCUCUCUGUACCUCUGUCUCUUGGUUUUGCGCUUUCUCUCUCUAUCGCUUCUUUAUAAAUAAGAAUUACGUUUGUGUCGGUAAUAAAACCAUACGUAACAUAUAAGCCACCGUGAUAAACGUAAUAGAAGGGUUUAGAUUCCUUUGUUCAUCAAAGGGAAUCAUAAAGGAUUGAAGGCCAAAGAAAGAAGAAGAUAAAGGAUUGAGUACACGUUUUUUAUAUCACUCUUAAAGCUUUCAUCUCUCUCCUACACAACUCAACCUCAAGAUAUGUCUAGAGUAUUUGAAGAACAUAGCUGAGUCACGGAAUAGCCAAGUUACGGGAAGAACAAGAUCAAGUGAACAAACGUUGGAAAAUUCAUAAAAGUGUGUUUUUUUUGUUCAUUAUGUUAUGGAGAUGGGUUCAUUGUGGUCAUUACUCUUUUUUGAAUCAUUCAUUUUUUCCUUUCACUUUACGGUGUGAAGCUUACUGAGUGAACAUUUUUUGUAGCAAUCAUUUUUUUUUUCGUCUUGUGUAAUGGAAUUGGGUUAAUGAAUCCAUAAAAAUAUAUGAAAAUACAUUAAUAAGUGUGUUUUGAAGCUUUAUAAGAAGAUGAGUUGGCCAUAUAUAAACAUGGAAAAGGGAAGAGAAAAAUAAAAUGUAAAACUAAUACACAAUUAAUCUAUGAACAACCUUAAAUUCCAUAUUUAGCUUUUGUGAGGGAAGAACAAUGGAAACAAAUUUUACCUUUCUUUUACGUCUGAACUAAUAUUGAUAAGAAAAGAUGGAGUUACAACUGAAACAAAUACAAUAAAAGGCUUCUGCCUAUGAAACCAGCCGUAAAUUUAAACUAAACCAAAUGGACUCAGACACUCGAGCAGCCAUUCAAAAGAUCAUAAACCAAAAACGACUUGCAAAGCUUGGCAGACUGGAACCAAAGCUGUCAAACUACAAGUCACAUAUACUUAAAUUAUCUUUCUCAUUUAUUUUCUUAAUUUAUGAAUCUUUGUAUGCUUUUUAAAUAAAAACCAUAUAUAUUUCUCAUUUAUCUUCUUAAUUUAAGAAUCUUUGUAUGCUUUUUAAAUGAAAACUAAAUUAUUUGAAAGAGUGAUCCAUAAAUGUGGUUACAUUUUUUCUCUUUGUAAUAGUAUACAAUUUUGAGUGAGAUCUUUAGAAGGUAUACACAAUUUCAACCACUGUACAGAUUUUUGUGUAAUGAACUAGGCUAUUUGUUAAUAUAUAUUUUCCUGGUCAAGUCUUAUUACCGUAUUAGUAUUCUGAAUCUUAUCGAUUUAUUAAACACAUCUGUAGAAGAUGAUGAGAUAUGUUAUUUUGGAAUCUAUAUAUAAUAGCAAACCAAUUUUUUGUUAGCCGCUGACGUCAUCAGUUUUUUAUAGGAAAAAAAAAAUCAGAAUCUAACGGUGAAGAUAGUUCUGAGAAUAUAAUCUAAGGGAUAUAAUUUUGUUUAGGACUAAGGAUGUGACGCCAUCGCUUUGCAAUCGACGCCUUCACCGUAUCUCUUCAAAGGCGUCCCCUGCAGAAACUAUAACCCUUCAAGAGUUGUAUACUUUCACAAGCAGCGUUUCAGUUCAACGUCAUCAUCUUCCCUUAAAAGUGGUAUCUUAUCAGAAGCUUAUAUAUUAAAGAAAUUGUUUAUGUUCUCCUAAUUGUUUCAAGUUUUCUUUGAUUAUCCUCUCUGUUUCUUUUUUUUUUUUGUGAAUCUCCUCUCUGUUUCUUAACUCUCUCCAGUCCCGCUGCAGAUAAUUUUCUCUCUCGCCCUUUCUCUCCAAUUACAGAGUCCAUUAAAGUAUUACUAUUUCUCUGCAAUUCUCUAAUUCUUAAAUUUAUUCCCUCUGAGUUUCUGCAAAUACAGUGGGCAUACUAUUGCUUAGAUGGCCUUGGUGCAUGCUUCAUUGUUUAAUUAGUCUUCGUAGGAUUCACAUUCAGAACAACUCAGUCCCUAUCUUAAAAUCGAGAAGAACAGAUAAUCGCGAAGAAGUUAAGUAUCUAUUCUUCUUAUUCAGUAAACUGAUAUUUCUCAAGUGCAACACUUGUCUGUGCAUGCGUUUAAGUGGGGAAGAUUGUACAUGAACAACAAGUGGAAAGCCAAGUUGCGAUGAGAAUUCAAUAUUUAUAAGGUUUCAAAAUCAUUACACAACAAUACAUAUAUAAUCUCUUCAUAAUAUGAUGUACGAGUUUAAUGCAUUUAUCGCUUUUGAGUUGUGAGUGUUUAGAAGAUU